AUGACUUUAGCUUAGUUACCAAAUGGGAUUAUGACUGUACAAAUCAAUCUAUCUAAUUCCUCCCUGUUAAAUUAUGACCAUUUCUAGAUUCCUCAUAAAAUCAACCUGAGAAUAACCACCUUCAGCUGCCCAAAGUCGAGGGAAUCGGGGCAACAACUCUUCAAUAACCUCUUCAAGCUGUAAAACAACAGGAGUUUACUUUUGAAACAUUUGCCUCAGCCAAGCUGCCUGGGUGACAGUUAAUAAGGAGAAAACCAGGAGACAUCCACAUGGAGUGGAGACUGUGAAGAUCAAAGCUGAGGGAGCCUCAGCCAGAGGAGUGUCCUUAGCACGCCACAAGCAGGGCUCACAGAAAGAAUCUGAGGCCGAAAACCAGCAAACUGGCUGUCACCAAAAUGUGCCUUUUGUCACACACUCUUAGCAACUGUGUUCUUCGGCUGCAAUUAUUUCAACACAUGAUUUCAACUGCACUAACACCAGAUCAGGACCACCUGUUACUCUUAUGAAAGAUUUGAUAGGCCUGUUCCUUGUCUGAGCCCUGGUGAUCCCAAGAACAUCUUUGGACACACAGCUUUUCUAGAACAGCUGUGCCAGGCAUGACUGUAUGUAGUAAAAUCCUCCCAGAAAACAGUGACAUAUGAAAGGUCUGGAGGCUAUGAAAAAGGAAAACCCUGAUUUACAAGGAAGGAACCACGCGCCCAGCAUGACUCCAGAGACGGUCCUGACUGGGGUGGUGAAGGAAUGAAGACAAGACACACACAGGGACAAAGCUGGGAUCAGGUGGUCUGGGCUCUCAGCUGGAGGAAGCACAGCAGCUCAGGAGCUCAGCAUGUUUAUUACACAGUGGAACAGACAAGCAGGGUUAUUGCAUACAGAUAAACAAGGAGACAGAGUUGAUGGAGCACAGCUGGAACAAGGAGACAGCUUUAGCUAAUCUGGGUACAAGCAGUCUCUGUUGGGGAACAGUACUCAGGUCAUAAAAACCAUGGGAGGAGCUAUGGUGGACAUUUUCUACAUACAAUGUCAACCCUUGCACAUAGUCCUGCAUUGAAGACUUUGCCAUUUACCUCUGAACCUCACCCCAGGGAUUUGCCAUUUCUCUUGGACCUUUAAUGUGAUCUGGUUCAGGUCGCCACAGACAUUACUCAGUAUUUCACUUAUUAGGGUUUUCUCAGGUAAAUUAAAGAAUUUACCUAAAACCACAAAGCAAAGAAAUAAUUGCCUGCCAUACUCUUUACUCAGGUCAAUGUUCCGCUGGAGUCUUCACUCUGCCUCCCUCAGAUCUCUACAUAAGCUAUUCAAGAAAGCCACAAUGUUGUCAACAUGGGGAAAAAAUAUCACAUAUUCUUUAUAUAGAAGUUUACCUAGCAGACAUAUCUUUAACCAGUGGCUUCGGGUUUCUGUCUGAACGUAGAGCUGAAAACCACGUACCAGGAGUGCUGAUACACCCGACAGCAGAGAUCUGGAGAACUCUCUGGUUUAGAACUCUGGGCCAAGAUUACCAUCUACAAAGAUCUUUGGAGAGCAAUAAAUUGUUAGGCUAAUUUGGAAAGCCACAGAAAAUGUUUUAUUUUAAUUAUGUUUGACCCCAGAUAAAAAUAAACAGUAAUGAUCAUCUGAUUCUGCCACACUUAAUAAAGCUUGCUCUAAGUGCUUCAGGAUUUGCCAAAUAUUUGCCUCAUCACCUAGGCGUCUUUCGUCAUUCCCAUUUUUGUGAUAGCCCAAAAACUUUCAAGUCAAAAUUUAUUGUGGAAUUUUAUCACUGAGCUAAACAGUGGGAGGUCCUCAAACAAAAAACCAAGCAGAGAUUAGUAACAGCUUAAUUCCACAUCUUUAUAGUUCUGCAAAAAACAUAAAUUCACUUCAUCAUUUAGGUACAUAAAUAGUUGGAAGUUAAUUUAAAACACAAAUGCUAGGUCUGAUAUAUAUGUGCCCUGGAGGGUAGGGUGCAUGUUCACCCGACAGUUACAGGCACUUUAACAGUACAGGUUUUUUAUCACUAAAAUAGAUACAAAAGUGUGCUCUAAGGUUUUGUGAGUCCUUUCUCUACCAUCAUCGUUAGGACUGUAACUCAGCCCCAACUCACACUCACACAUGCAUACAUCCUGCUCUGACCCUGAGUAACUUCUGACAUGUUGUAUGUGGCUUCUGUUGACAUAUCACUAAAACCCUUCCCUCAACUACAAGAUGCCUGUGAGCAAAAACGAAUUUUGCCCUUUUCACUGAGUGCUAUAUUUUCAGUUUAUACUCAUGCUUGGCACACUAUGGAAACUCAGGACUUUAGCAAAAUGGUGCAAUCAUCAAAGAAGAAAAGCUAUUAUACAUUUGAAAAUGA
rnacentral:sRNA from 1 species